GGAGAGAUGGCUCAGUGGUUGAGAGCACUGACUGUUCUUCUGAAUGUCCUGAGUUCAAAUCCCAGCAACCACA
rnacentral:tRNA from 1 species